CUCAGCUUCUGAUCGAGGUGCAGCUCCAGCAGCACCGGCAGUUUGCUGCGGGUCAUCAGCAGAGCGCAGUUCAUCUUCCAAAUCAUGCCCCGACCCCGGCUGCAUCUCCCGUUCCGCUACACGAACGCCUUGGGUGCGGUCUUUAGUCCUCACUGGUGAGCCCCUCCAUAUUAUUUUGUAUAGGGCUUCAGCGGCUGCUGCUUGCUUCUGUUUUAGGUGGUUGCCGCUUUGACACGCGUUUGUGAAGAGAAUCAGGUACAUGCUGCCUUUCUUGUCUUUGUAUCCUGUGCUUUCAUUCCUUUUGGGGUUCAUAUGGUUCGCCUGCUGAACGACGUUCUGGUCGGCCAUCAUAGUUUCGUUCUUGGGUUCGGUGAAGUGGCCGGGGAUUGUUCCGAAUGUGGGACUCUGAGGCGCCGCUUCUUCGUGGGUAUUUUGCUGCUGCUUUUGUUUCUUCAUUGGAUAUGCCUCCAAUUUAAGCGCGCUGGCGAUGGCAAGAAGUUCGGCGUGGAAAGCGACCAGCUCCUUUCGUGGUAUUUGACCGGCUGUGCAGUCGAGUAGUGUGACCUGACGAUUUUUUUAUUUCCGUCUUUGGUUUCCGGUUCUGAUGGUCUGGGGUGAUCUCUGCUCCCUGUGCAAUGUGAUCUUAUAAUCUACUCCCUCCGUUCCUUUUAUGUACUAAGAGAAGCAUCUGACAUGUCCGUGCUGUACCGUCCCUGUUUCUCUUCUGGUCGGCACUCUGGUUCUUUGCAUAGUGUUGUUCCGAUUUUGUAGGCUGAUUGUAACCGGAAUGAGAACCGCAGUUGUUAGGAAUACCUUUUUGUUUUUACUGAGUGAAGCUACACCAGCCUCCUCGAAUCGAUGAUCAUGUAAGCAUCUAGCAGUCUUGAAUGUCAC